CACUACAAGAAAACAUGUUUUUACUGACCAAACUUAUUGAGGGCUAAAAGCCCUCAGUAAUGCAUUUGUGCAAUAUUGAAGGUCCCAGGCCGUCAUAAUGUAGUCUUGGAGAACGGAAUUUAAUUAAAAAUGAACUAUUAAGAAUUACUGACGGUCCUGAGCCGUCAGUAAAGCAAUUGGUAUUGCAGACGGUCCCAGGCCGUCAGUAU
rnacentral:lncRNA from 1 species